rnacentral:lncRNA from 1 species
GGGCUUUCCAAGAUGGGAAAAGAUUAUUGGGAUUAUUUUUCUAGCUGAAGGGUAUGGAUUGUAUUUUUCGCGUGAAAGAAUGAUUCAUCUUUUUCUCAUGAUGUACAUGAUUGGAUCGCACAAUAGCUGCUACAAAUUUUGUGCAGGCAGAUGAAAGAGAAUUUGAAGUGCUUUGAGAGCUAUUUGAGGCAUUAUCCAAUGGCUG